UACGUAGGUGGCGAGCGUUGUCCGGAUUUACUGGGCGUAAAGAGCGCGCAGGCGGUCGAUCAAGUCGGAUGUGAAAGCCCCCGGCUCAACUGGGGAGGGUCAUUCGAUACUGGUCGACUCGAAGGCAGGAGAGGGAAGCGGAAUUCCCGGUGUAGUGGUGAAAUGCGUAGAUAUCGGGAGGAACACCAGUGGCGAAGGCGGCUUCCUGGACGGUAACUGACGCUGAGACGCGAAAGCGUGGGGAGCAAACAGG
rnacentral:rRNA from 1 species